AAGAAAACUGUCAGCUUUGCUGAGAAUGGAAAUGUGUAUAGGGUUUUCAGCGACAACCAUGAGUCAGCUUUAAGUAGAGAUGGUAGCUUCGCUGAGAGGAGUGAUUCCAGUGAUGGUCAUGGAGAGACUAUGGAUUACAAUGAAAUUGAAGAGAGAAAGGGGAUCUCUAAAAUUACAGAGAAUGGUGUUGUUGAGGAUGAGAAUGCGACAUCUACACAGAGCAGUGAUGGGGAGAGGAAUCCUACAAGGAAUGUAAGAGGGGGCGGUGAGUUUGAAAUUCAUGGGUUCUGCCAGUAUCAAGAUGGUGGCUUAGUUUUCUCUGCCCCAGCGCCC
rnacentral:misc_RNA from 1 species